rnacentral:rRNA from 1 species
GACAGAGGAUGCAAGCGUUAUCCGAAAUGAUUGGGCGUAAAGCGUAUGUAUGUGGCUUUUUAAGUCCGCCGGUCAAAUCCCAGGGCUCAACCCUGGACAGACGGUGGAAACUACCAAGCUAGAGUACGAUAGGGGCAGAGGGAAUUUCCGGUGGAGCGGUGAAAUGCAUUGAGAUCGGAAAGAACACCAACGGCGAAAGCACUCUGCUGGGCCGACACUGACACUGAGAGACGAAAGCUAGGGGCGCAAAUGGG